rnacentral:rRNA from 1 species
CCUUAGGGCUGCAGCUAACCCAUUAACCACUCCGCCUGGGGAGUACGGUCGCAAGACUUACAACAAAAGAAUUGAGGGGGGCCCGCAAAAGCGGUGGAGCAUGUGGUUUAAUUNGAAGCAACGCGAAGAACCUUACCAGGUCUUGACAUCCUCUGACAAUCCUAGAGAUAGGACGUCCCCUUCGGGGGCAGAGUGACAGGUGGUGCAUGGUUGUCGUCAGCUCGUGUCGUGAGAUGUUGGGUUAAGUCCCGCAACGAGCGCAACCCUUGAUCUUAGUUGCCAGCAUUCAGUUGGGCACUCUAAGGUGACUGCCGGUGACAAACCGGAGGAAGGUGGGGAUGACGUCAAAUCAUCAUGCCCCUUAUGACCUGGGCUACACACGUGCUACAAUGGACAGAACAAAGGGCAGCGAAACCGCGAGGUUAAGCCAAUCCCACAAAUCUGUUCUCAGUUCGGAUCGCAGUCUGCAACUCGACUGCGUGAAGCUGGAAUCGCUAGUAAUCGCGGAUCAGCAUGCCGCGGUGAAUACGUUCCCGGGCCUUGUACACACCGCCCGUCACACCACGAGAGUUUGUAACACCCGAAGUCGGUGAGGUAACCUUUUAGGAGCCAGCCGCCGAAGGGGGA